CCUGGCGGCGCUUUAGCGCGGUGGUCCCACCUGACCCCAUGCCGAACUCAGAAGUGAAACGCCGUAGCGCCGAUGGUAGUGUGGGGUCUCCCCAUGUGAGAGUAGGGAACUGCCAGGC
rnacentral:rRNA from 1 species